rnacentral:rRNA from 1 species
CCUACGGGGGGCAGCAGUGGGGAAUAUUGCACAAUGGGGGAAACCCUGAUGCAGCGACGCCGCGUGAGUGAAGAAGUAUUUCGGUAUGUAAAGCUCUAUCAGCAGGGAAGAAGAAAGACGGUACCUGAUUAAGAAGCCCCGGCUAACUACGUGCCAGCAGCCGCGGUAAUACGUAGGGGGCAAGCGUUAUCCGGAUUUACUGGGGGUAAGGGGAGCGUAGGCGGUUGUGCAAGUCUGAAGUGAAAGCCCAGGGCUCAACCCUGGGACUGCUUUGGAAACUGUGGAGCUAGAGUGCUGAAGAGGUAAGUGGAAUUCCUAGUGUAGCGGUGAAAUGCGUAGAUAUUAGGAGGAACACCAGUGGCGAAGGCGGCUUACUGGACAGUAACUGACGUUGAGGCUCGAAAGCGUGGGGAGCAAACAGGAUUAGAUACCCCGGUAGUC